rnacentral:rRNA from 1 species
UGCCAGCCGCCGCGGUAAUACGGAGGGUGCGAGCGUUAAUCGGAAUUACUGGGCGUAAAGCGCGCGUAGGCGGCUUGCUAAGUCAGCUGUGAAAGCCCCGGGCUUAACCUGGGAACUGCAGUUGAUACUGGCAGGCUGGAGUACGAGAGAGGGAGGUAGAAUUCCAUGUGUAGCGGUGAAAUGCGUAGAUAUAUGGAGGAAUACCAGUGGCGAAGGCGGCUCACUGGCCAAAGACUGACGCUCAUGUGCGAAAGUGUGGGUAGCGAACAGGAUUAGAUA